rnacentral:rRNA from 1 species
ACGGAAGGUGCGAGCGUUAUUCGGAAUGACUGGGCGUAAAGCGCGCGUAGGCGGUUUAUUAAGUCCAUUGUGAAAGCCCACGACUCAAUCGUGGAAGUGCAGUGGAUACUGGUAGACUAGAGUAUAGGAGAGGAGAGCGGAAUUCCUGGUGUAGAGGUGAAAUUCGUAGAUAUCAGGAGGAACAACAGUGGCGAAGGCGGCUCUCUGGACUAUAACUGACGCUGAGGUGCGAAAGUGUGGGUAGCAAACAGG